rnacentral:rRNA from 1 species
GAUGAACGCUGGCGGCGUGCCUAAUACAUGCAAGUCGAGCGAACGGACGAGAAGCUUGCUUCUCUGAGGUUAGCGGCGGACGGGUGAGUAACACGUGGAUAACCUACCUAUAAGACUGGGAUAACUUCGGGAAACCGUAGCUAAUACCGGAUAAUAUUUUGAACCGCAUGGUUCAAGAGUGAAAGACGGUCUUGCUGUCACUUAUAGAUGGAUCCGCUCUGCUUUAGCUAGUUGGUAAGGUAACGGCUUACCAAGGCAACGAUGAUUAGCCGCCCUGAGAGGGUGAUCGGCAACACUGGAACGGAGCCACGGUCCAGACUCCUACGGGAGGCAGCAGUAGGGAAUCUUCCGCAAUGGGCGAAAGCCUGACGGAGCAACGCCGCGUGAUGGAUGAAGGUCUUCGGAUCGUAAAACUCUGUUAUUAGGGAAGAACAUAUGUGUAAGUAACUGUGCACAUCGUGACGGUACCUAAUCAGAAAGCCACGGCUAACUACGUG